rnacentral:rRNA from 1 species
CAGUCGCCACGGGAAUACAGAGGGUGCGAGCGUUAAUCGGAUUUACUGGGCGUAAAGCGUGCGUAGGCGGCUUUUUAAGUCGGAUGUGAAAUCCCUGAGCUUAACUUAGGAAUUGCAUUCGAUACUGGGAAGCUAGAGUAUGGGAGAGGAUGGUAGAAUUCCAGGUGUAGCGGUGAAAUGCGUAGAGAUCUGGAGGAAUACCGAUGGCGAAGGCAGCCAUCUGGCCUAAUACUGACGCUGAGGUACGAAAGCAUGGGGAGCAAACAGGAUAAGAGACCCCUGUAGUCCCUGUCUCUUAUAC